UCCAGACUCCUACGGGAGGCAGCAGUGAGGAAUAUUGGUCAAUGGGCGGGAGCCUGAACCAGCCAAGCCGCGUGAGGGAAGAAGGUACAGCGUAUCGUAAACCUCUUUUGUCAGGGAACAAAGGCGGGGACUAGUCCCCGGAUGAGGGUACCUGAAGAAGAAGCAUCGGCUAACUCCGUGCCAGCAGCCGCGGUAAUACGGAGGAUGCGAGCGUUAUCCGGAUUUAUUGGGUUUAAAGGGUGCGCAGGCGGCGUUUAAGGUCGGGGGAAAAAGCCGGGGGCCAACCCCCGGCGAGCCGUUGAAACUGGCGGGCUGGAGUUGGAGAGAAGUACGCGGAAUGCGCGGUGUAGCGGUGAAAUGCUUAGAUAUCGCGCAGAACCCCGAUUGCGAAGGCAGCGUACCGGCUCCACACUGACGCUGAGGCACGAAAGCGUGGGUAUCGAACAGGAUUAGAUACCCGCGUAC
rnacentral:rRNA from 1 species